rnacentral:rRNA from 1 species
AGCGAACGCUGGCGGCAGGCCUAACACAUGCAAGUCGAACGGAGCCUUCGGGCUUAGUGGCGGACGGGUGAGUAACACGUGGGAACGUACCUUUUGGUUCGGAACAACUCAGGGAAACUUGAGCUAAUACCGGAUGAGCCCUUAGGGGGAAAGAUUUAUCGCCGAAAGAGCGGCCCGCGUUAGAUUAGCUAGUUGGUGAGGUAAAGGCUCACCAAGGCUACGAUCUAUAGCUGGUCUGAGAGGAUGAUCAGCCACACUGGGACUGAGACACGGCCCAGACUCCUACGGGAGGCAGCAGUGGGGAAUCUUGCGCAAUGGGCGAAAGCCUGACGCAGCCAUGCCGCGUGGAUGAUGAAGGUCUUAGGAUUGUAAAAUUCUUUUACCAGGGAUGAUAAUGACAGUACCUGGAGAAUAAGCUCCGGCUAACUCCGUGCCAGCCGCCGCCGUAACAC